rnacentral:tRNA from 1 species
GGUGGCUCAGUGGUAGAGCGAUUGCCUUGCAUGCAUGAGGCCCUAGGUUCAAUUCCUCAGCACCA